UACGGAGGGUGCAAGCGUUGCUCGGAAUUACUGGGCGUAAAGCGCGUGUAGGCGGUCUCGUAUGUCUGGUGUGAAAGCCCCGGGCUCAACCCGGGAAGUGCACUGGAAACUGCGAGACUAGAGUCCCGGAGAGGAAGGUGGAAUUCCAGGUGUAGCGGUGAAAUGCGUAGAUAUCUGGAAGAACACCGGUGGCGAAGGCGGCCUUCUGGACGGUGACUGACGCUGAGACGCGAAAGCGUGGGGAGCAAAC
rnacentral:rRNA from 1 species